AGAGUUUGAUCCUGGCUCAGGAUGAACGCUGGCGGCGUGCUUAACACAUGCAAGUCGAACGGGAAACCUUUUAUUGAAGCUUCGGCAGAUUUAGAUUGUUUCUAGUGGCGGACGGGUGAGUAACGCGUGGGUAACCUGCCUUAUACAGGGGGAUAACAGUCAGAAAUGACUGCUAAUACCGCAUAAGCGCACAGAGCUGCAUGGCUCGGUGUGAAAAACUCCGGUGGUAUAAGAUGGACCCGCGUUGGAUUAGCUAGUUGGUGAGGUAACGGCCCACCAAGGCGACGAUCCAUAGCCGGCCUGAGAGGGUGAACGGCCACAUUGGGACUGAGACACGGCCCAGACCCCUACGGGAGGCAGCAGUGGGGAAUAUUGCACAAUGGGGGGAACCCUGAUGCAGCGACGCCGCGUGAAGGAAGAAGUAUCUCGGUAUGUAAACUUCUAUCAGCAGGGAAGAAAAUGACGGUACCUGACUAAGAAGCCCCGGCUAACUACGUGCCAGCAGCCGCGGUAAUACGUGGGGGGCAAGCGUUAUCCGGAUUUACUGGGUGUAAAGGGAGCGUAGACGGAUGGACAAGUCUGAUGUGAAAGGCUGGGGCUCAACCCCGGGACUGCAUUGGAAACUGCCCGUCUUGAGUGCCGGAGAGGUAAGCGGAAUUCCUAGUGUAGCGGUGAAAUGCGUAGAUAUUAGGAGGAACACCAGUGGCGAAGGCGGCUUACUGGACGGUAACUGACGUUGAGGCUCGAAAGCGUGGGGAGCAAACAGGAUUAGAUACCCUGGUAGUCCACGCGGUAAACGAUGAAUGCUAGGUGUCGGGGAGCAAAGCUCUUCGGUGCCGCCGCAAACGCAUUAAGCAUUCCACCUGGGGAGUACGUUCGCAAGAAUGAAACUCAAAGGAAUUGACGGGGACCCGCACAAGCAGCGGAGCAUGUGGCUUAAUUCGAAGCAACGCGAAGAACCUUACCAGGGCUUGACAUAUGGGUGAAGCGGGGGAGACCCCGUGGCCGAGAGGAGCCCAUACAGGUGGUGCAUGGCUGUCGUCAGCUCGUGUCGUGAGAUGUUGGGUUAAGUCCCGCAACGAGCGCAACCCCCGCCGCGUGUUGCCAUCGGGUGAUGCCGGGAACCCACGCGGGACCGCCGCCGUCAAGGCGGAGGAGGGCGGGGACGACGUCAAGUCAUCAUGCCCCUUAUGCCCUGGGCUGCACACGUGCUACAAUGGCCGGUACAGAGGGAUGCCACCCCGCGAGGGGGAGCGGAUCCCGGAAAGCCGGCCCCAGUUCGGAUUGGGGGCUGCAACCCGCCCCCAUGAAGUCGGAGUUGCUAGUAAUCGCGGAUCAGCAUGCCGCGGUGAAUGCGUUCCCGGGCCUUGUACUCACCGCCCGUCA
rnacentral:rRNA from 1 species